GUCACAUUUCUUAACAUUUUAUGCAAAGGUAUAAAUUUGUGAAGUAUUAAAAAUACCUCAGAGUCCCAAAUUUCUAAAUAAUCAGCAUGAGUUCAUUAUUGUUGACUUAGUCAGAAUGUCUCCAUGUCAGAUGUCAUUUAUCCACAAAACCUAACUUAGAAAGCUGUGAGGGUCGCAGUCCUAUGAGAUGUGGUCCUCCUGUUGUCUCCAUUUACACCUGAGGCAAGUGAGACUAGAGUGGGUGAGUAACUUGUCCAAGGUCACACAGCGAGCAACUGCUGAAGCCAGGACUCAGGCCCGCCAGUGUGGCUCCAGGGUCCGCUCCAGCCCUGCACUGGGAUGUCUCUCAAGUGCUCUGGAGCCUCAGAGAUGAAGGGUGUGAUCGUCAGAGCAGCAGCUCGUGCUGGGCCUCAAGGUGGGCACGUGGGUGAAUCCCUCCAGGUCAUCACAGGAAACAGUUCAUCCUCAGAGACACAAGCAAAUAAACCGAAGUCAACUGUAGCAGCAGCGACUCUGCCUGAUUGUUUACUCACAGAAGGGAGAGGUCGUGGAUGGAUUCGGAGUCGUGGAGAAGCAGAGGCGGCCGGAGUCGUGGUGGGUGGAGGCCCUGUGCCCGCAGCAGAAACACUGGACACGCUGCGGCCCCUUCUUUCCACAGCAGUGGUUGGACGUGAAGCAACAAUGUGUGCAUAGUGAAAAACCCUUCUGGAAAGUCACCGGAGGAAAAAGGACUAGAGAUGCGUUCUCCCUAUUGAAGGCUGAAAUGCUGACCUCCAGUGCUGACUUCACUGGACGGCUAACAAAGAAUUUAUUCAUCCUAAUACCUCACAGACACUGUCCCACAUCCACGUACAUCUAGUAGCCUGCCUGUGGCUGUAAGAUAAAGAACUGAUCUGUCUUGUAUUCAGUGAGACCGAGUCUGUUUGUUAAUGAAUCCUUGCAGAAAAGACUUGUGCUGCGUUCCUUAUAAAAGACUUCUUCAUAUAUUGGAAUGACACUGGUUUAGUAAGCAAAGUAUAUUGUCAUUUUGAUACACAGAUUGGAAAAUUUCUUUCAUGUCUCAUAUUCUCUUCUAUUUUUAUUUUAACCCCUACAUUUCCCUUGUGUUUUUUAACUCAUGCAUGUGCGCUCUUCAUACAAUUUUAAAAAGUAAUAAAAUCCAACAUAUAAAAAUGAUUAGUUUUAUUUUCUUUGUUUUGCAUUAUGUAUUUGGCCAA
rnacentral:lncRNA from 1 species